rnacentral:rRNA from 1 species
GAUGAACGCUAGCGGCAGGCUUAAUACAUGCAAGUCGAGGGGCAGCAUGAAUGUAGCAAUACAUUUGAUGGCGACCGGCAAACGGGUGCGGAACACGUACACAACCUUCCUAUAAGUGGGGAAUAGCCCAGAGAAAUUUGGAUUAAUACCCCGUAACAUAAUGAUGUGGCAUCACAUUAUUAUUAUAGCUACGGCGCUUAUUGAUGGGUGUGCGGCUGAUUAGAUAGUUGGCGGGGUAACGGCCCACCAAGUCUACGAUCAGUAGCUGAUGUGAGAGCAUGAUCAGCCACACGGGCACUGAGACACGGGCCCGACUCCUACGGGAGGCAGCAGUAAGGAAUAUUGGUCAAUGGACGCAAGUCUGAACCAGCCAUGCCGCGUGAAGGAUUAAGGUCCUCUGGAUUGUAAACUUCUUUUAUCUGGGACGAAAAAAGGCGAUUCUUCGUCACUUGACGGUACCAGAUGAAUAAGCACCGGCUAACUCCGUGCCAGCCGCCGCCGUAACAC